rnacentral:rRNA from 1 species
GAUGAACGCUGGCGGCGUGCCUAAUACAUGCAAGUCGAGCGAAUGGAUUAAGAGCUUGCGCUUAUGAAGUUAGCGGCGGACGGGUGAGUAACACGUUGGUAACCUGCCCAUAAGACUGGGAUAACUCCGGGAAACCGGGGCUAAUACCGGAUAAUAUUUUGAACUGCAUGGUUCAAAAUUGAAAGGCGGCUUCGGCUGUCACUGAUGGAUGGACCCGCGUCGGAUUAGCUAGUUGGUGAGGUAACGGCUCACCAAAGCAACGAUGCGUAGCCGCCCUGAGAGGGUGAUCGGCCACAACGGGACUGAGACACGGACCAGACUCCUACGGGAGGCAGCAGUAGAGAAUCUUCCGCGAUGGACGGAGGUCUGACGGAGCAACGCCGCGUGAGUGAUGAAGGCUUUCGGGUCGUACAACGCUGUUGUUAGGGAAGAACAAGUGCUAGUUGAAUAAGCUGGCACCUUGACGGUACCUACCCAGAAAGCCACGGCUAACUACGUGCCAGCCGCCGCGGUAA